GUUUAAUGUGUCAACUGUUCGCAGCUGUGUACCUGUUGCUAACUGGUGAGAACUAACAUAGCCCUGAGGAAGAUAACGGGAAGAGAGCAGUCUGGAGCAUUUCAUGAAGUAUGUGGAUACUGAUAAUGAAUCUUUAUCAAGUCAUAUGAGAGCACAGUGACCAUAACUGACAUCUGUCACCACAGCAGCAACUCUAAAGCUGACUGACCUGCUGCUGCUCUUCAGAGGUCCCACCUGGAUGGGUUCUCUGUACAGAAGCUUGGAGAUGUUCUUUAGGUCCAGAACCUCGCAGUGACCGCAGUCAUCGUCAGUCACACCGCAGCUGAUCAGAGACGCAUUGUUUGUGAAAGGCAACAACACGUU